AAACUCAGAGGUUACAAUAGCUUCAGUGCAAAACAAGGAUGAAUGGAAGGCUGUGCUGCAUUGUGUGACAUAAAAGAGAAGGACAAUCCAGCAAAGUCUGCUGUUCUUACAGUUCUUGUUCUACACUGUGAGGCCAUGGUGGAAGAGGAGAUUAGAAGCCAGGUCAAAGCAGUAUCUCGAACAGUUUUGGCAGUUUUGUCCAAAUGCCAUGGUCCUGUUCUGCUUUCGUAAUCCUUUGCACGGAGGAUUACAACUUGCUAGAAUCCACCUCCUGGUGUCAUGGAGUCCCUCCAUCUGCUUUACAUCACAAGGCCAGAUCGUUAGUUCUUAUGGACCUUCUCAUUGAAUGGGAUCUCCCACUUCGAGAGGACAGAGAUUCCCUUGGCCUGAAGCUCUGGAUCCUGGAAAGAGGGGAAUGAUGAUUAUAAGGUUCUUGUGGUAAUCGGACCAUGGCCAAGAUGCAAGACAAUGGGCCCACAUGGAGAAGAUAUAAAGCUGGAUACUGUGCUUCCAAUGGCUCUGUGGUCUGACAAGUCCCUAGAAUCAAAUCACUUGCCACAGGAAAAGUUUUUUUUCCCCUACCAGUAGAGGGGGGGAAA